rnacentral:rRNA from 1 species
AAACUUUGCAAUGUGCGAAAGCACGACAAGGUUAAUCCGAGUGUUUCCUGCUAAAGGAAUCUUUUGUUAGUCGUAAAAUCACUAUUGAAUAAGGGGUGGGCAAGUUCUGGUGUCAGCCGCCGCGGUAAAACCAGCACCUCAAGUGGUCAGGAGGUUUAUUGGGCCUAAAGCAUCCGUAGCCUGAUCUAUAAGUUUCCGGUUAAAUCCACAUGCUCAACAUUUGGGCUGCCGGAAAAACUGUAGAUCUAGGGAGUGGGAGAGGUAGACGGUACUCGGUAGGAAGGGGUAAAAUCCUUUGAUCUAUUGAUGACCACCAGUGGCGAAGGCGGUCUACCAGAACACGUUCGACGGUGAGGGAUGAAAGCUGGGGGAGCAAACCGG